rnacentral:lncRNA from 1 species
GUUUCCGGCCCGGGGCCCGACUGCGGGUGGCAUUUCUGGCUAAGCCGUUAGGCGCGAAUUUUCUGUGUCCAGAAAACACAGGGCACGUUACCCGGUAUCGUGGUCUACACCUCGCCCACAAAUCCAUCCCAGGCUGUAUCCUCAUGGAAGCUUUUUCCAGAUGUGCUUGAGGGUUAAGAUCGCAAUGUGCAAGAAGAAAAAGUGCACAUUGGAAAACCUUCUCUUCGGAGAUAUCUAUAUCUAUAUUUAUAUAUAUUUACAGAUAUGGAGAUAUAUACACACACGUAUCUGAAAACAUUCUGACGUUUUAAAAACGGAGCACCAGAGGAGGGGGACUUCAUCUGACUUGUUCAGCACUGUCUCCCAGGCCCUGGCACAGAGGGAGCACUCGAUACACACCGAUGGGCUGAAGGUGUGAAUGGAUCUGGGGACUAGAGUGAUGGUUAUUUGGCAGACAGCAUGCCCCGCCUGGGCAGUAGCCGUGAAGACUCUUCUUUUCCUCUCCUCGCCUGCACUCUUUAGGAUUGAACAGCAUUGGUUCAAUGCAUAUUCUGGGAGCACAGAGAAAAAAGGGAUCAAGUUCCACCAUUAUGCAAAAGGGACUCCUGUAAGCCAGACCCUGAGCCGUUGUCAAAACACAGCUUAAUCCCCAUUCCCUGGGCCCGAGACCCUGCAGCCCCCACGCUGCCCGGCUUCCGGUCUUACCUGGGGCAACCUGACCAACAAGAACGCGGAAGGCCAGGAGCCAAAAACAGAGACUCCUGAUGGGUAACAGAAGGAAAAGGAUGUGAAGAACCCAGCAGCCUUUCCUGAGGCUGUGUCUUCUGUGCACAGCAUCUACUAAGGCCAUUCAAAAACACCCCUCCAUGGAUCUUAAAGCACCCCCUUUUUCCCUUAGGAGGGGGAGUUCUGCAGCUCCUUAAGCUAAAGCCAGAUGGAUGCAACUAAGAGAGAAGAGAGAACUCCAUGCUGCCCCCUUGGUGAAUAGGCUGGGCCCAGCAUGGUGCAGUCCUUAAAGAGGACCACGGUGGAUGAGAUGAAGCCACCAGGGCACUGUGUGUACAGAAACAGCAGGAAUCAAAAUGCCAUAUACCCGAUGAGUGCAAUGAUGAAACAAAAAAUUUAUGUGCCGACUCAGAUUGGAGAAGUAUACUGGGAAAAACAGGCCAAUAGUAGAUUUGAUUGGAAGAGUAGUAUUUUGAGCAAUUUUUGUUAUAGCACUGUUUUGUAUUUUGACUGAUUGUGACAAGCGUGUAUUUUUCUGCUGAUAUUUGUGGGUUCUCAGGCUUUCGUGGCAUAAAACAACCUUGAUCAAAAAUGUGAAUGGUAUAAGAAGUUAGUGAAUCAGCUUUCAUGCCUGUCCAGAACAGAACAAAGGGGCACCCACAUGACAGCUCACUAAAUUUCUUUUAAAAACCUGUUGUCUUCCAAGAUUUGGGACUAAUAAUAAAAAAGCCUCAAGUGGCUUUUGUUCAUAAAUUACCAUCAGUCCGUGAUCUAACAGAAGAGAUAAAGGCAGGGGAAUAACUAUUUCUCCCAAGGCUUUUUAUUAUUGUGAUUUUAAAAAACUAUUAUUUUUCAAUAUUUUGGAUAGUUCAUGUAUUUUCAGAAGAAAGCAGCCAUGAACAAGUGUAUGUAUAUUGGGAGUUAACUGGAAAUAUCCAUUUUCAUGGAAGUUCUCCUUCUAAACAAUGGACAGAAUCAGGUCUAUCCCCUAAACCAGAGGUUGGAAAACAAUGACCUUUGGCCAAAUCUGGCUUGCUGCCUGUUCUUUUGAACACAGUUUUAUGGAAGCACAGCCACUCCCAUUUACUUAUGUGUCAGACAAGGAUUCUUUCACUCUGCAGUGACAGAGUUGAGUACUUGCAACAGAUGGGAUAUGACUCACAGAAUUGAAAAUAUUUAUUAUCUGGCCCCUUGGAAAUAUUUGACGACCCAUGUGCUGAGCCACUGACAUAGCCAUCUAAUCCCAUGUGGCAACCACUGGCGGUACAUCUGUGGUUUAAACUCCUCCUGGCCACUACUAAAAGUGUAAUCAGGGUCCAUUGAUACAGGAAGACUUUUUUUUUUUUUUUUUUUUUGGACAGAGUCUUGCUCUGUUGCCCAGGCUGGAGUGCACUGGCACAAUCAUAGCUCACUGCAACCUCUGCCACCCGGGCUCAAACAAUUCUCCUGCCUCAGCCUCCCAAGUAGCUGGGAUUACAGGCGCCCGCCACCAGGCCUGACUUUUUUUUUUUUUUUUUUUUUUUUCCAGUAAAGAUGAGGUUUCACCAUGUUGGCCAGGCUGGUCUCGAACUCCUGACCUCAGGUGAUCCACCGUCCUUGGCCUCCCAAAGUGCUGGGAUUACAGGUGUGAGCCACUACACCCGGCCAGGAAGACUGUUCAAUAUAGGGGCCACACAAGACCACAUGCUGGCUGUUUUGUCUCCUUUCUCUCUUUUUCAACAGUCAUGCUCCUUUUUUUUCAUCAUGGCAUUGGUUUCUUGGAGAAACAAGGUUAUUUUUCCUGUAGAAUGUCUCACACUCUGGAUUUGACCCACUGCUUCCUGUGCUGUUGUUUCGCUUGUUUCCGAAAGUCCUGUAUUUUCCGUAAACUAGUAGUUAGAUCUAGAAACUCAAUUAGUUUCAGGUUCCAUUUCUUUGGGCAAGAAUAGUUCAUGGGUGGUGCUGUGUAAUUCUUAUUACAUCACAACAGGAAAUCCAUUAAUGUCUGGUUGUCUCAGUUUUAGGGAGGGUAAGACUGAUGAUCGAGUGCACCCUUAACCCUCAGUUAUCAAAUUCCCUGCCAAGCUUUUCACCAAAUGGUUCUAAAACAGUCCAUUGAUGAUUGCUUUAGACCUAUAAUUUCAUUCAGGGUUGCAAUAUGGUGAUUUUAUUAUUCUAUCAUCCCUUUUUCAUUUAUUAGUUGGGGAAAUUCUAUAAAGAAGGCAUUUCCUUAACUAUUGUUCACCCUAAAAGGCAGUUUGUACUGAAAAUGCAGAAUAAAUUUCUGAAGUGAUAAGUUGGUGCUGUAACAAGCUCUAAUUAUAAAUGAAACUAUUUAAUUGUCAUCAUGAACUCAUGGAUGUUUAUGUAUUUGUGUGCGUCAAUCAAUUGUUAUCAUUAGUUACUGCAGUUAGGAAAAAUGUCUCAUCUGUGGCCAUUGGGCUCCCCUUUGAUUUGGAGCUGGUGUUCUUUUGGUGCGACCCUUCAGUCUUUGAGAUGUCUUAUUUCUAGCACAGCAAAAUAACUCAGGCUUGUCUUGUACAUCUUAUGUUCCAGACUUGGAGGCUGCCAUUUCUCCAAGUAGUCCUGGAGAUUCUCAAAUGCUAAAGUUAACCAACACAGUGCCCUAAGACCAGAAAGGAGAAAAAAUGGAAGUUCUGGGUCCUGCCAAAGGACUAUUUCACUGAGCAGACUGCUGAGACCUCUGAAUUAUGUGGACACUUGAGAAUCAGUCAUGUGUUGGGGCCGGCGUCGUGGCUCAUGCCUGUAAUCCCAGCACUUUGGCAUUUUGGGAGGCCAAGGCGGGUGGAUCACCUGUGGUCAGGAGUUCGAGACCAGCCUGGUCAACAUGGUGAAACCCUGUCUUUACUAAAAACAAAAACAAACCCCAAAAAUUAGCCAGGUAUGGUGGCCGGCACCUGUAAUCCGAGCUAGUCGGGAGGCUGAGGCAGGAGAACUGCUUGGGCUUGGGAGGCAGAGGUUGCAGUGAGCCGAGAUUGUGCCACUGCACUUCAGCCUGGGCGACAAGAGUGAAACACCAGCUCAAAAAAAAAAAAAAAAAAAAAAAACCAAAAAAAAAAAAACCAAAAUCAGUCACCUGUUGGUUUGUGGAUCAAACAAAGUGGAGGUGACAUCACUGAAGCCUAGGACAUCACUCCCCUUUUCCAGGCAGGCUUUGUGGUUCGACCUGUCUCACGUUCCAACCCAUGCACCCUAACCCCCUACUUCUUUACCUCUUCCAAUUGAGACACAAGAUUCAUUUUGGCCCAAAGGAGGUAUACUUCAAAAGCAAUUUUCCUUUAUUAAAAGAAUGCUUAUAA